AGUGAACGCUGGCGGUAGGCCUAACACAUGCCAGUCGAACGGCAGCACAGUAAGAGCUUGCUCUUACGGGUGGCGAGUGGCGGACGGGUGAGGAAUACAUCGGAAUCUACUUUUUCGUGGGGGAUAACGUAGGGAAACUUACGCUAAUACCGCAUACGACCUACGGGUGAAAGCAGGGGAUCUUCGGACCUUGCGCGAUUGAAUGAGCCGAUGUCGGAUUAGCUAGUUGGCGGGGUAAAGGCCCACCAAGGCGACGAUCCGUAGCUGGUCUGAGAGGAUGAUCAGCCACACUGGAACUGAGACACGGUCCAGACUCCUACGGGAGGCAGCAGUGGGGAAUAUUGGACAAUGGGCGCAAGCCUGAUCCAGCCAUACCGCGUGGGUGAAGAAGGCCUUCGGGUUGUAAAGCCCUUUUGUUAGGAAAGAAAAGCAGCAGGUUAAUACCCCGCUGUUCUGACGGUACCCAAAGAAUAAGCACCGGCUAACUUCGUG
rnacentral:rRNA from 1 species